CGGCGAGCGAGCGGGAGAGCUCAAAUUUGAAAGCUGGCACCUCCGGUGUCCGCGUUGUAAUCUCGAGACGUGUUUUCCGUGCGGCUCUAUGGACAAGUCCCUUGGAAUAGGGCAUCGUAGAGGGUGAGAAUCCCGUACUUGCCAUGGAAGAACCGUGCUUUGCGAUACACGCUCUAAGAGUCGAGUUGUUUGGGAUUGCAGCUCAAAAUGGGUGGUAGACUCCAUCUAAAGCUAAAUAUCGGGGAGAGACCGAUAGCGAACAAGUACCGUGAGGGAAAGAUGAAAAGCACUUUGGAAAGAGAGUUAAAAGUACGUGAAAUUGUCGAAAGGGAAAGCACUUGAAGUCAGCCAUGCUGCUUGAGACUCAGCCUGGCCUUUGGGCUUGGUGUAUUUCUCGGUGGCAAGCCAGCAUUGGUUUGGGUCGUCGGAGAAGCGCAUAGGGAAUGUAGCGUUUCCGGACGUGUUAUAGCCUUAUGCAGGAUACGACGACCUGGAUCAAGGAACG
rnacentral:rRNA from 1 species